GACGAACGCUGGCGGCGUGCUUAACACAUGCAAGUCGAACGGACAGGCCCUGCUUUUGUGUGGUUCUCGAUUGGCGAACGGGUGAGUGACACGUGAGUAACCUGCCCUUGUCUUUGGGAUAACUUCAGGAAACUGGGGCUAAUACCGGAUAUGAUCUCCUGCUGCAUGGUGUUGGUUGGAAAGAGUCGGCGGUAGGGGCUGUAAUCGCUGCUUAUCAGCUGGUUUGUGUGGUAGUUGCGUACCAAGGCUUUGACGGGUAGCCGGCCUGAGAGGGUGGACGGCGACAUUGGGCCUGAGAUAGGGCGCAGAAGGGUACGGGAGGCAGUGGUGGGAAAUCUUGCACAACGGGGGGAAGCCUGAUGUAGAAACGUCCGGUGCGGGAUGCCCGGUUUCGGGUGGUAAACAGAUGUCGAAUGUGACGAAGAGAGAGUGACGGUACCGGGUAAAGAAGCCCCGGCUAACUACGUG
rnacentral:rRNA from 1 species